CCUACGGGUGGCAGCAGUGAGGAAUAUUGGUCAAUGGGCUUACGCCUGAACCAGCCAAGUCGCGUGAGGGAAGACUGCCCUAUGGGUUGUAAACCUCUUUUGUCAGGGAGCAACGCCGGCUACGUGUAGCCGUACUGAGAGUACCUGAAGAAAAAGCAUCGGCUAACUCCGUGCCAGCAGCCGCGGUAAUACGGAGGAUCCGAGCGUUAUCCGGAUUUAUUGGGUUUAAAGGGAGCGUAGGUGGAUUGUUAAGUCAGUUGUGAAAGUUUGCGGCUCAACCGUAAAAUUGCAGUUGAUACUGGCAGUCUUGAGUACAGUAGAGGUGGGCGGAAUUCGUGGUGUAGCGGUGAAAUGCUUAGAUAUCACGAAGAACUCCGAUUGCGAAGGCAGCUCACUGGACUGCAACUGACACUGAGGCUCGAAAGUGUGGGUAUCAAACAGGAUUAGAUACCCGAGUAGUC
rnacentral:rRNA from 1 species